GUGGUCUGCGUUGGAAUGGACUUUGGACCCCGGCCUCUUGGGAUGCAAAGGAUGAAGUAACGCCUCUGCUGCAAGAGAGGAGCCUCUAGGACCCGCUACGAGGUAAGGCCUGAGCCCACUCCCUGAUCCUGGUGUUCACGCCCCCACUGA
rnacentral:lncRNA from 1 species